rnacentral:rRNA from 1 species
CACGUAGGGUGCGAGCGUUGUCCGGAAUUAUUGGGCGUAAAGAGCUCGUAGGCGGUGUGUCGCGUCGGCCGUGAAAACCUGCAGCUUAACUGUGGGCUUGCGGUCGAUACGGGCAUCACUGGAGUUCGGCAGGGGAGACUGGAAUUCCUGGUGUAGCGGUGAAAUGCGCAGAUAUCAGGGAGGAACACCGGUGGCGAAGGCAAUCCCCUGGGCCUGCACUGACGCUCGAUGACACGAAAGCGUCGGGGAGCAAACAG